GACGGAAGGUGCGAGCGUUGUCCGGAAUCACUGGGCGUAAAGGGUGCGUAGGCGGCGCGGUAAGUCGGGUGUGAAAUCUCGGGGCUUAACUCCGAAACUGCAUUCGAUACUACCGUGCUUGAGGACUGGAGAGGAGACUGGAAUUUACGGUGUAGCGGUGAAAUGCGUAGAUAUCGUAAGGAAGACCAGUGGCGAAGGCGGGUCUCUGGACAGUUCCUGACGCUGAGGCACGAAGGCCAGGGGAGCAAACGGG
rnacentral:rRNA from 1 species